GUUGAGUUUGAUCUCAAAGAUCUGAGAGACAUACAGUUGCUCAGUUUUUAAUAUAGCAUACUACAUAGUAUACUGAAGAUAUAUUGAUCUCAGAAUUGUUCUGUAGGACAAAUGUGACUUACUGGUCUAUGGAAAGAAAAUGAGAAUUUGAUUAUUAAUCAUAAACUAAGGAUUACGUAAUUGUGUGUACACUCACACAAUGGACUGAAUUAGUGGACAAGUGUGAUCAAGGGGAAGGAUGCAACUAAUGGAGGGAGAAGCUCAACUCCUUGCCUGCUUGUCAGAGAAUUGUUGGAUGAUGCAGAGGUAUGA